rnacentral:rRNA from 1 species
GCAAGUCGAACGGUAACAGAAGGAGCUUGCUCUUUGCUGACGAGUGGCGAACGGGUGCGUAACGCGUAUGCAACCUACCUUAAAGUGGGGUAUACCCCAGAGAAAUUUGGAUUAAUACCGCAUAACACAGUGACUCUUCAUGGUAACACUGUUAAAGCUUCGGCGCUUUAAGAUGGGCAUGCGUGACAUUAGAUAGUUGGUGAGGUAACGGCUCACCAAGUCAACGAUGUCUAGGGGUUCUGAGAGGAUUAUC